UCCUUGGUGGUCCAGUGGUUAGGACUCUGCGCUUCCACUGCAGGGGGCAAGAGUUUGAUCCCUGUUCAAGGAA
rfam:Ovis aries breed Texel chromosome 1, whole genome shotgun sequence.